rnacentral:rRNA from 1 species
UUGGGGGGCGAAGUAGCUGAUUUCACACUGUCAAGAAAAGCUUCUAUCGAGUUUAAAGGCGCCCGUACCGUAAACCGACACAGGUGGGUGAGGAGAGUAUCCUAAGGCCAGCGAGAGAACUAUUGUUAAGGAACUCGGCAAAAUGACCCCGUAACUUAGGGAGAAGGGGUGCCUGUCUAUGACAGGCCGCAGAGAAUAGGCCCAAGCGACUGUUUACCAAAAACACAGGUUUCUGCUAAGUCGCAAGACGAUGUAUAGGAGCUGACGCCUGCCCGGUGCUGGAAGGUUAAGGGGAUCUGUUAGAGCAAUCGAAGCAGUGAACUUAAGCCCCAGUAAACGGCGGCCGUAACGAUAACGGUCCUAAGGUAGCGAAAUUCCUUGUCGGGUAAGUUCCGACCCGCACGAAAGGCGUAACGAUUUGGGCACUGUCUCAACAAUAGACUCGGUGAAAUUGUAAUCCCGGUGAAGAUGCCGGGUACCUGCGACAGGACGGAAAGACCCCAUGGAGCUUUACUGUAGCUUGACGUUGGGUCUUGGUACUACAUGUACAGGAUAGGUGGGAGACUAUGAAGCAUGGACGCCAGUCUGUGUGGAGUCAUCCUUGGGAUACCACCCUUGUAGUACUGGGAUCCUAACCAUAGGCCUUGAAUCAGGUCUUGGAACACCGUCAGGUGGGCAGUUUGACUGGGGCGGUCGCCUCCUAAAAAGUAACGGAGGCGCUCAAAGGUUUCCUCAGCACGGUCGGAAAUCGUGCGAAGAGUGUAAAGGCAAAAGGAAGCUUGAUUGCAAGACAUACAGGUCGAGCAAGGACGAAAGUCGGACUUAGUGAUCCGGUGGUACCGCAUGGAAGGGCCAUCGCUCAACGGAUAAAAGCUACCCUGGGGAUAACAGGCUUAUCUCCCCCAAGAGUCCACAUCGACGGGGAGGUUUGGCACCUCGAUGUCGGCUCAUCACAUCCUGGGGCUGUAGUAGGUCCCAAGGGUUGGGCUGUUCGCCCAUUAAAGUGGUACGCGAGCUGGGUUCAGAACGUCGUGAGACAGUUCGGUCCCUAUCCGUCGCAGGCGUAGGGAAUUUGAGAAGACCUGUCCUUAGUACGAGAGGACCGGGAUGGGCGUACCUCUGGCGUACCAGUUGUUCUGCCAAGGGCAUGGCUGGGUAGCUAUGUACGGAAUGGAUAAGCGCUGAAAGCAUCUAAGCGCGAAGCCAACUUCAAGAUAAGAUUUCCCACCGCAAGGGUAAGACCCCAGGAAGACUACCUGGUUGAUAGGUCGAAGGUGUAAGUGCAGUAAUGUAUUUAGCUUAUCGAUACUAAUAGGUCGAGGACUUGAUC